UGUUCUGCUGCUUCAAUCCAUGAGUAUGAUGAGUAGUGAAAAGUAUUUUCCGCGACUGAAAAAGGCACGUGUUGAGGAUGAGAACCAGCCUGAAACGGAGGUGUCAGUCUGAAACAGAGCUGAACAGUCCGACCAGUGUAAUUAGUUAUGUUAUUAAUUUGUUUACAAUAUUUUCAGGCUUCAACGAGUGCUGCUCAAGCAGAAAGACAGGGUCAGGGAGA